GAAAAAGGUGGGAGCAAGAAGAAGCCAGGCCCUACCGGAGGCAUUAAAAAGCCAAAAGGGAAAGGCAAGUGCUUCAAGUGUCAGAAAACUGGACAUUGGAAAUCCGACUGUCCCAUGAUGAAGAAAGCUCAAGGGGUUCCUGCGGACAAGGGAGCUUAGUGGAGGCGAGCUGUCACUCUCCAUGGGAAAUGAAGCAAGCUUACCCGUUGUUUCAAUUGGAGAUGUGAAUUUAUUAAUUGAUAAACAUGUUUUGUUUUUAAGAGAUGUACUCUAUGUUCCGGGUUUUCGGAAAAACUUGAUUUCUACCAUUCAAUUACGAAAGUAUGGAUAUUCUGUUCUUUUAGAAGACAGUGCAGUAUUCAUUAAAGAUGGUCAAGUUUUAUUUAGAAGUGCGGCUGAUUCUCUUUA